UACUCAAGCCCUAGCCCCGUUCUUCUCUUUCAUCUACAGUCGCCCCUGCUUUCUUAUUCCCGAAUUACCAUCGGAAAAAAUAUCAAAAAUAUAUAUAUGUAUAUCAGUAUAUGUAUAUUUGAGGGUUUUAGUUACGGUUUUUAAAUUCUAAAAUUGAUGACGGCAACGCUACUUCUAUCACUGAUGAACCACUAGACGAUGAGGUUGAAGUAAAACUAGAAGUUUUGCAGGUGUUUAACCUCUUAAAUGGCCUAUGCGGUUACGGGUGGCGUUAUAUUUGGCACAAACAUUAGAGUACUGCAGCAGCAAAGGGCGAUCUUUCUACCACGAUUUUAAUGUCUAUAGAGUAUUAUCUGAUCAGGCUCUCUUGUUUUGGACUAAUGAGGAUAGCUGAGGCGGAAAAACUUAUGGUACAAACUUAGUUGUUUAAAUAGACACUGAGUGUGUAGAGUAAUAGCAGAGAGCAUAAUUAACAGCUUUGGAACAACACGCUUGCGUGGCCUGGAAAGCUGAUUCCCCCCAACCCAUACGAGGACGAGACCCGAUUAGCAUGAAUACAUAAAACUGUGGACUGGACUGGUACUUUCGGUUAUGUUCGGUGCCGAUCCAAUGUAGGGUCGGUUCAAAUCACUUGGAGGCGAAUGUCAUUAUAGUUCAAAGGGAUGCAUGUUACAGAAGUGGUGAUUCAAAUUUGUUGGCUCGAGAUUGUAGUUUGAGACUUUGAGUGGAAGGCAGACGUGCUAUGGACAUGGUUGAGGUAUAAAUGCAAUGUUGCGUUUUAAUUAUAAAAAGAGAUUUUGUUACUUUUGUAGUUUUAUUUAUGUAUUAUUUAUGAAAGGAUUGAAAUCCUCUCAAGUUUUUCCAAUAUGAUGGGGAAUGUUGAAAUGAAUGAGGAUCCUAAUCCCGUAUGAGAACAGAAAUGUAUCAAUAGUUUUUCACUGCGAUUGUAAUGACUAAUGACUUCUUUGACA